rnacentral:lncRNA from 1 species
CAUUCCAUGACUACUUUGCAUAAUAUGGUAACCUGUCUUGCUAAUAGAUUCUCUUAUCCCUUGCCAGUUUUGAUGACACAAGCUGCUAUGUUGCAAGCUUCCCUAGGGAGGUGACCUAAUCAUAAAGAAAAUCAUAAGGAACAAUGGGGUGGCCCCAGCCAACAGCCAAGAAGACACUCAAGUCCUUAGGCUUACAACUGACAAGGAACUAUCAGCAGUCAACACUGCAUGAGCUCAGAAGUAACUCACCAGUUGAGCUUUGAGAUGAAAUCAGUUUCUUGAUCAACACAUUGCUUAUAGUCUUAUGAGAGAUAAUUAAUUAAAAGAUCCAGCUAAGUCAGGCUUUGACAGCUGACACUGAGAAACUGUAAUGAGUGUAUGUCAUUUUAAGCCACUAGGACUGUGAUAUUUUGGUACCUAACAAUAGAUAACAAAUACCCCAGUCAAAUGAACUAAGUUCACUUGGUGAUAAAGGCUGCAGUGAACAUCUCAAUCCAAUGGCUCUCAUGUCCAUGUCAAAGCCAUCUAUGUCAAAUGCAAGUGAAGAUGAAAAAUUUAUGCCAAUCUUUAGCAGAGUUACUUUAGAAGGAAAUAAGGACAAAAUAACUUUGAAAGGAACCAUGGGGAAUUCCACAUCCAGCAUGGCAACAUAAGGAUCUGGGCAGACCAACUCCCCAGUGAAACUUGUGAAAAAUUUUAAGAAGGCAGCUAAUUUGUAUUUCUGGAACAUGAUAGAAAAUCUAAUAAAUCCAUGUAAGUCUACUAAAAUUGAAUAAGAAUAUGAAAGUCUAUGGCAUUUAAGUUAUAAUAUCCUUCCUUUCUUGUCUUCCCAGCUCAAUGUAAAAGAAACUUCACUCCAGACUGGUGUAGCCAAAAACCGAUGGCUCCCAUUUCCCCCAGCAGCAAGUCAAGGGCUAAGAUAUCUUCCCAAGAGGAGUAGCACAUCAGCAUGUCUCAUCCUGUCCCCCAGCUACUUGUAGCAGAGGCUACAUUCUAGGCAAUUUCAGCCAAGGUAUCAUGAAUUCCUUCUUCCAUCCAGUUGCCACUACUAGGUGUAGACUGCCUCAGACAUGGAGUGCUGAGAAUCCUGGGGUCCCAGUGUCAUCUGGCUCAUUCAUAAGGCAGUGGCUUCCAGUCAGGAGAGUCAAUGUGAAUACAAGAACAAAAAAAAAAACAAAGAAAUACAGUUAAAAGUGAGCAGGAGACUUCAAUAGCCAUGGCACAAAAUAGAAAAGUUUGAAAUGAAUGAAAAUAACGGCAUAGCUUUUAAUGUCUAUAGUUUAGAAAAGAAAAAAAAUUCUUAAACCAACAACCUAAACUUCUACAUUAAGGCACUGGAAAUAGAAACGCAAACUAACUCACUAUAAAGUAUGCAGAAGGAAGAAAAUAAUAGCAUGUAAAUUAAUGAUACAUGGACGUAAAAAUAUAGAGAAAAUAAGUAAAACCAAAAGUUAUUUUUUUGUUAAGAUCAACAAAAUUGCCAACCUUAGGUUAACCAGGAAAAAGAGAAAAGACUCAAGUUAAUAUAAUCAGAUAUGAAAUGGUGGACAAUACUACAAAACUUCAAGGAAUAAAGAAAUAUUAUGAAGAAUUGUGCACCAUUAAAUUAGAUAAAUUAGAUGAAAUAGAAGUCUUCUGCUCACUUUUAACUGUAUUUCUUUGUUUAAUUAGAUUAAUUAAUUUUUAUCUAAUUAGAUAAAUUAGAUGAAAUAGAAAAAUACAUAGGGCUGGGCAUGGUGGCUCACGUCUGUAAUCUCAGCACUUUGGGAGGCCAAGGUGGGUGGAUCACCUAAGGUCAGGAGUUCGAGACCAGCCUGAACAACAUGGUGAAACCCCGUCUCUACUGAAAAUACAAAAAUUAUCUGGGUAUAGUGGUGGGCACCUCUAUUCCCAGCCUCCUGAGGCUGAGGCAGAAGAAUCACUUGAAUCCGGGAGACAGAGGUUAUAGUGAGCCAAGACUGUGCCAUUGCACUCCAGCCUGGGUGACAAGAGCAAAACUCCAUCUCAAAAAAAAAAAAAAAAAAAAAAACCUAGGAGGACACAAACUACUUAACCUAAUUCAAAGAGAAUUUGAAAAUUUCUAUAGGCCUAUAACAAGUAAUGUUUAAAUGAGUAAUUAAAAAGCUACCCACAAAUAAGCCUAGGGUCACAUGGCUUUACUGAUGAAUUUUAACUAACAUUUAAAGAAUUAAUAUCAAUUAUUCUCAAGGCUCCCAAAUAAUAAAAGAGUAUAAAAAGUGCUAUCACAUUCUGUGAGAUCAGUAUUGCCUUGAUAGUAAAACCAGAAAAAGACAUUGAAAGAAAAGAAAACUAGAGGCCAAUAUCCCUUACGUAUAUAACCUUUACAAAAUACUUACAAACCAAAUCUAUUGACAUAUAAAAAGGAUUCCACACUAUGAAUAAGUGAGAUUUAUCACAGGAAUGCAAAGUUGGUUUAAUAUCCAAAAACCAAUUAAUGCAAUAACCCAUAUCAAUAUAAUAAAAAAGCAAAAACCAUAAGCAUCUCAGUAUAUGCAGAAAAAGCACAGAUCAAUCCAACACUCUUUCAUAGCAAAAAGAAAAAAAAACAUUAAAUAAACUAGGAAUAGUUGUGAGCUUCCUUAACCUGAUAGGGGACAUAUACAAACAUCCCCAGGUAACACCAUGCUUAAUGGUAAAUAACUCAAUUCUAAGACUGGAACUGUAAGAUCAAGAACAAGAAAGGAAUGUCCACUCUCACCAUUUCUACUUAAAACUAUAUUGGAGAGUAUAGCAAAGGCAAUCAGGAAAGAAAAAGAAAUAAAAGGCAACUAGAGAGGAACAGAAGAAGUAAAACCAUCUCUAUUUGCUACUAUCUCUAUUUUCUUGUAUAUGGAAAAUCCUAAGAAAUCCACUAAAAAAUCAUUAGAACAAAUGAAUAUAUUCAAUAAGCCUAAAGGAUCCAAAAUCAAUAUACAAAAAUCAAUUCUAUUUCUAUGUACUUGUGUAUUAGUCUAUUCUGAGAUACUAUAACAAAAAUACCUUUAAUCAGGUGACUUAUAAACAAAAGAAAUUUAUUUCUCACAGUUCUGGAGGCUGGGAAGUCUAAGAUCAAGGCAUCAGCAGAUUGACUGUCUGGCAAGUGCUUGGUUCCUUAUAGAUAGCACCUUCUCCUCUUUUGUCCUUACAUGUUGAGAGAGGUAAGAUGCUCUCUUCACCCUCUUUUAUACGGGCACUAAUCCUAUUCGGAAGGGCAGAGUCCUCGUGACCUAGUUACCUCCCAAAGGCUCUACGUCCUAAAACCAUUGAGUAGCGGGAUUUCAACAUAUUAAUUUUGUGAGGGCACAAACAGUCAAGAGAUGGACUCAAUCUAAGUGUCCAUCAGUGGAGGAAUGGAUAAAGAAAACAUGGUAUAUGUGGACAAUGAAAGACUGGUUGACCAUAAAAAAGAAUGAAAUCUUAUCAUUUGCUACAACAUGGAUGAACUUGAAGGACAUUAUGUUAAGUGAAAUAAGCCAGUAAUAGAAAGAAAAAUGCUAC